UACCAGCACCCCGAGUGGUCGGGACGAUUAUUGGGCCUAAAGCAUCCGUAGCCGGUUCUGCAAGUCCUCCGUUAAAUCCAACUGCUUAACAGAUGGGCCGCGGAGGAUACUACAGAGCUAGGAGGCAGGAGAGGCAAGCGGUACUCAGUGGGUAGGGGUAAAAUCCGUUGAUCCAUUGAAGACCACCAGUGGCGAAGGCGGCUUGCCAGAAUGCGCUCGACGGUGAGGGAUGAAAGCUGGGGGAGCAAACCGGG
rnacentral:rRNA from 1 species